rnacentral:rRNA from 1 species
AGACUCUGUGCGCGUGCAUAUCAAUAAGCGGAGGAAAAGAAACUAACAAGGAUUCCCUUAGUAACGGCGAGUGAAGCGGGAAGAGCUCAAAUUUGAAAUCUUCAAGGUUCUACCUUGACGAAUUGUAGUUUAUAGAAGUGUUUUCUGUUAGUAGAGUGGCAAAAGUUCUUUGGAAUAGGACAUCAUAGAGGGUGAGAAUCCCGUAUUUGGUCAUUCUUUCUAGCUUUGUGAUACACUUUCAACGAGUCGGAUUGUUUGGGGAUGCAGUCCAAAAUGGGUGGUAAAUUUCAUCUAAAGCUAAAUAUUGGCGAGAGACCGAUAGCGAACAAGUACCGUGAGGGAAAGAUGAAAAGAACUUUGAAAAGAGAGUUAAACAGUACGUGAAAUUGUCAAAAGGGAAGCGUUUGACACCAGUGUUGUUUUUCCGAAAAUCAAUUACGAAUGUUUUGUUUUUGAGGAGUUAUGACUUCAUCGGCUUGCUCCUUUCUUUAUGAAACUUUCUUAAUGCACUUUUCGGUUAACAAGUCAACAUCAAUUUCUUUUGUUGUAAAAGGGUAUGAGGAAGGUGACUUUCUUUUCGGAGAAAGUGUUUAUAGCCUUGUGCCUCUGCAAUCGGAGAGAUUGAGGUCUGCAGCGUAGAUCCUUCGGGGUUAGAUACGUUUGUGCUAAGUUAUAGCUUUUCAUAGACAACUUGUUGACUAUGUUUAGUCUUGUAGCUUACUCGCUGACGCUAUUUUACCUACGCUUAGGAUGUUGAACUCUAUCACACACAG